rnacentral:rRNA from 1 species
AAAAAAAUUGUUAGGGUUUUUGGUCAGUCUCAGGACCGACGCUGGCGGUAUGCCUAAUACAUGCAAGUCGAACGCUGAAGCACUCUGCUUGCAGAGUGUGGAUGAGUGGCGAACGGGUGAGUAACACGUGGGGAACCUGCCCAUAAGAGGGGGAUAACAUCCGGAAACGGGUGCUAAUACCGCAUAGGUGAUCAUAGCGCAUGCUUAGAUCAUUAAAGAUGGCUUCGGCUAUCGCUUAUGGAUGGCCCCGCGGCGUAUUAGCUAGUUGGUGAGGUAAUGGCUCACCAAGGCUGUGAUACGUAGCCGACCUGAGAGGGUGAUCGGCCUCACUGGAACUGAGACACGGUCCAGACUCCUACGGGAGGCAGCAGUAGGGAAUCUUCCACAAUGGGCGAAAGCCUGAUGGAGCAAUACCGCGUGAGUGAAGAAGGUCUUCGGAUCGUAAAGCUCUGUUGUUAGAGAAGAACAAGAGGUGUAGUAACUGGCACCUCCUUGACGGUAUCUAACCAGAAAGUCACGGCUAACUACGUGCCAGCAGCCGCGGUAAUACGUAGGUGACAAGCGUUGUCCGGAUUUAUUGGGCGUAAAGCGAGCGCAGGCGGUCUUUUAAGUCUGAUGUGAAAGCCCACGGCUCAACCGUGGAGGGUCAUUGGAAACUGGAAGACUUGAAUGCAGAAGAGGAAAGUGGAAUUCCAUGUGUAGCGGUGAAAUGCGUAGAUAUAUGGAGGAACACCAGUGGCGAAGGCGACUUUCUGGUCUGUAAUGACGCUGAGGCUCGAAAGCGUGGGGAGCGAACAGGAUUAAAUACCCUGGUAGUCCACGCCGUAAACGAUGAGUGCUAAGUGUUGGAGGGUUUCCGCCCUUCAGUGCUGGAGCUAACGCAUUAAGCACUCCGCCUGGGGAGUACGGCCGCAAGGCUGAAACUCAAAGGAAUUGACGGGGACCCGCACAAGCGGUGGAGCAUGUGGUUUAAUUCGAAGCAACGCGAAGAACCUUACCAGAUCUUGACAUCCCCUGACCACCCAAGAGAUUGGGCCUUCCCUUCGGGGAAGAGUGACAGGUGGUGCAUGGGUGCCCUCAGCUCGUGUCGUGAGAUGUUGGGUUAAGUCCCGUAACGAGCGCAACCCUUAUUGUUAUUUGCCAGCAUUCCGUUGGGCACUCUAGCGAGACUGCCGGUGAUAAACCGGAGGAAGGCGGGGAUGACGUCAAUCAUCAUGCCCCUUACGAUCUGGGCUACACACGUGCUACGAUGGAUGGUACAACCAGUCGCGAGACCGCCAGGUGUAGCUAAUCUCCCUAAGCCAUUCUCAGUUCUGAUUGUUAGCUGCAAUUCUCCUGCAUGAAGCCGGAAUCUCUAGUAAUCGCGGAUCAAAACGCCGCGGUGAAUACGUUCUCGGGUCUUGUACACACCGCCCGUCACACCACGAUGAGUUGGAACACUCAAAGUCGGUCGAGUAACCCCUUUAUGGAGCUACCUGCCGACGGUGGCUGGAUGAUUAGGGUGAAGUCUAACA